GACGAACGCUGGCGGCGUGCUUAACACAUGCAAGUCGAACGGAAAGGCCUGCUUUCCCUUGUGGAUUGCGGGUACUCGAGUGGCGAACGGGUGAGUAACACGUGAGUGAUCUGCCCCCAACUUGGGUAUAAGCCUGGGAAACUGGGUCUAAUUCCCGAUAGGACUGCAGGGUGGUGCCUGUGGUGGAAAACGAUUUUCUAGUGGUUGGGGAUGAGCUCGCGGCCUAUCAGCUUGUUGGUGGGGUAAUGGCCUACCAAGGCGGCGACGGGUAGCCGGCCUGAGAGGGUGGACAGCCGCAUUGGGACUGAGAUACGGCCCAGACUCCUACGGGAGGCAGCAGUUGGGAAUAUUGCACAAUGGGCGGAAGCCUGAUGCAGCGACGCCGCGUGGGGGAUGACGGCCUUCGGGUUGUAAACUCCUUUCGACCGCGAGGAAGCCACCUGGUUGGAAGGGUGGUGACGGUAGUGGUAGAAGAAGCACCGGCUAACUACGUG
rnacentral:rRNA from 1 species